rnacentral:rRNA from 1 species
CCUACGGGAGGCAGCAGUGAGGAAUAUUGGUCAAUGGGCGCGAGCCUGAACCAGCCAAGUCGCGUGAAGGAUGACUGCCCUACGGGUUGUAAACUUCUUUUAUAAAGGAAUAAAGUGAGGCACGUGUGCCUCUUUGUAUGUACUUUAUGAAAAAGGAUCGGCUAACCUCGUGCCAGCAGCCGCGGUAAUACGGAGGAUCCGAGCGUUAUCCGGAUUUAUUGGGUUUAAAGGGAGCGUAGGUGGGUUGUUAAGUCAGUUGUGAAAGUUUGCGGCUCAACCGUAAAAUUGCAUUUGAUACUGGGAGCCUUGAGUGCAGUAGAGGUAGGCGGAAUUCGUGGUGUAGCGGUGAAAUGCUUAGAUAUCACGAAGAACUCCGAUUGCGAAGGCAGCAUACU